AUACCUGUUAUAAAUGUCCAAAUGUGUAUACAGAGUAUGCAUCUUAUUCCUAUUAACAUAUUUAAAUGAAGAAAUCAUAAAAAUAAACAAUCUCUAAGGACAGAAAAUUUAUUAUAGCAUGAGAAAUUCUACUUUGAAUCUUUACAGAAUUGUUACUACUUCCUUUGAUAUUGGGAAUAAAUAUCACAGCAACCAUCAAAACAGAAAAUAUACAAAGAAGAAAUGCAAUCUGCUAGGGAAGUGAUUUUUAAACUCACAGGCUAUCUUAAAGUUUGUACUGGCUCAUCCUCUGAGAAGUGUGUGCUCUGGUGUUUGGAGAAUUGGGACAUGGAACAUCAUGGGCUACCAGAGGAUGUAACUCAGUUCACAGGCAUCACCAUACUGUGAUCCCAAUUGCCACAGAGAGCUAAAGAUUCCCAAAGGAUAGUCACAAUUUUGCUCUAUUCCUGUCCAAGAAAUGGGACAGAUGAAGAUCCAACAUGUGAAAAGGAUUAGAAGAAAGCAAAGUUUAAGAGAAAUGGUGGAUGGGGUUCACCAGGUGCCCCCAUUUCCUGACAGAUCAUAAAGGUACAUAGUAGGUUCCACAGAAAUAUAAGGAAGAAUGUGUCUCACAUGGUAUUUAGAGAAAUGGAAAUCUUGAUGUCCUCAAGAAAUUGUAUAAAUAUCUUCUAAAUAAUAG
rnacentral:lncRNA from 1 species